rnacentral:rRNA from 1 species
AUUGAACGCUGGCGGCAGGCCUAACACAUGCAAGUCGAGCGGCAGCGGGACCUUCGGGUUGCCGGCGAGCGGCGGACGGGUGAGUAAUGCCUCGGAAUCUGCCUGUUAGUGGGGGAUAACGCGGGGAAACUCGCGCUAAUACCGAAUACGUCCUACGGGAGAAAGCGGGGGCUCUUCGGACCUCGCGCUAACAGAUGAGCCUAGGUCGGAUUAGCUAGUUGGUGGGGUAAUGGCCCACCAAGGCGACGAUCCGUAACUGGUCUGAGAGGAUGAGCAGUCACACUGUAACUGAGACACGGUCCAGACUCCUACGGGAGGCAGCAGUGGGGAAUACUGGACAAUGGGCGAAAGCCUGAUCCAGCCAUGCCGCGUGUGUGAAGAAGGUCUUCGGAUUGUAAAGCACUUUAAGUCGGGAGGAAGGACUGUAGGCUAAUACCUUGCAGUUUUGACGUUACCGACAGAAUAAGCACCGGCUAACUUCGUGCCAGCAGCCGCAGUAA